rnacentral:lncRNA from 12 species
CCUAUCUGUGCUGGAGGAUGGGCAGAGUACAAGAGGCUUUGCCCUCACAGACAUAAUUUCUGAGGUAGACCAGCAGAAGAGAACACCAGAAGGAUUAUGGGUCCAGCUGCCUUCCAGAGUAUUCUCUACAUGCUAGAACAAGC